ensembl:lncRNA
GAAAUCACGGGGCUGCAGUAGAGAUGGUGGUUUUCUGUACUUGCACCAUCCUACUGUGACAAAAGUUACCCGCAGCAGAUUUGACUGACACUGUCGGACUCCCCCUGCCUCUAGGACCAUAGAUAACAAAAUUGGCUCCUGUUUCUCUGGCUAAAUUCGGGCUGACCAGUUAUCCGCUGAACAAAAACAGAUCAGAGAAGCUCAACUGUUUCCACUGAAGAUCCACAUCUAUCUCUGGAGAAGUUCUCUCGGGCAAACAUCGAGGGGCAACGAUCGCUGUAAGCAAACGGAAAAAAGCAACAUAAAGAGUGAGCCGAAAGGUUUGUUUGAAGAAAGGAUCAGAAAAAAAAACUGAUCCAAUCCAGACGCGAUCGGUGGACAGCGGGGAUGUGCGGUGUGGGUGGUACUGGGAGAGCUGAACUGGAGUGCAGCGUCCUGGAGGAGGACUGGCAGACAGGACAGAGCUACAUGGCUCACUGGCACAGCCUCACCCUCGUUCCACAGCAUCCCCACAGGACAGUGAUGGAGGCGGAGAGCUCGGAUAAACACUGGGAGGCCAGGAGGCUCCUGCGGAGAUUCCUCUCGGGGGCCAUCAGCAGGAAUUACACACAUCCCAAAACGCACCUGACCAGAAGACCCCAUCAGCUCAUCUCAGACCCUUCCACCAUGGGGCCGAAGGUGCAGCGAGGUCCAGCUCAUAUACAGAAGGAAGAAUAUUGUGCGACCACAAGAGCAAAGGGUGUCAGAGACGAGUGAGAGAGGAAGAGUGUGGUGAAGAUUCCUGGUAUAAAAGUUAUGUCUUGAUAAACAAGAUACAAAAUAUUCUUGUGUACCAUGUUGUCAGAUUGAUUCGUAAUAGAUUGUGUUUGUGACGAACCUUUUGGGUAAAAGCAUGUGGGAUAAUAAAAAAUUGUAACUGUUGCAGAGAGAUUGAAUCAUUAGCAUGAAAAUAAUUUAGAUCAAUGCUCACAAUGAUUAAUGUUUUUGGUACUUUCAGGCAAUUGUUUUGGAAUGUGAGUUGUAUCUUUAUUAUCUUUGUGUACUGUAAAGAAGACUGAGGUUAAAAAUGUCCAUGUAUGUAUUUCAUUAUUCUAAUAAAUCACUUUGCUGUCCAUCUGAACAU